rnacentral:lncRNA from 1 species
CUCACGCCAUUUCGAACAUGACUCGGCCCACAUGGCCUCCCGCCACAGGGCAGGAUGCUGGUCCAUUUAAGCCAACAAUCCCCUCUCCAGCACCUGCACACAUUUGCAGCAUACAGGAAUCGAACCCGUGACCUCUGACUCUGUUGUCACUUGUCGGAUCGUUGGCGCUAACUAUUAAUCCCAAAAACUCAAGCUGUUAGAAAUACGCAACCAAUUCACUUAAAGGGUACAGAAACAGCGCCCACGGGUCUCGAUUGUGACUCGGCCCACCUGGCCUCACGCCACUUCGAAUAUGACUCGGCCCAACCCAGCCUCACGCCAUUUCGAACAUGACUCGGCCCACAUGGCCUCCCGCCACAGGGCAGGAUGGUGGUCCAUUUAAGCCAACAAUCCCCUCUCCAGCACCUGCACACAUUUGCAGCAUACAUGAAUCGAAUCCGUGACCUCUGGCUCUGAUACCACUUAUCGGAUCGUUGGCGCUAACCAUUAAUCCCAAAAGCUCGAGCUGUUAGAAAUACGCAACCAAUUCACUUAAAGCGUACAGAAACAGCGCCCCCGGGUCUCGAUUAUAACUCGGCCCACCUGGCCUCACGCCACUUCGAACAUGACUCGGCCCAACCCAGCCUCACGCCAUUUCAAACAUGACUCGGCCCACAUGGCCUCCCGCCAAAGGGCAGGAUGCUGGCCCAUUUAAGCCAACAAAUCAUUCACAUCGAUAAAUAUAAUCUAGGGUAUAUGUAAUCUUUAGGAAUAAAAUUUUAUCAGUACUAUUGUCUUGUUUUUGAUCUUAGAACGUUUAAAUUAACAAUCCACACCGUAAAAAUUGAUCUAAAGUAUAUAAAAUUUUAAAGAUUAAAUUUUAUAUUUAUCGUUGUUAUUUACUUUAAGAUCAAAUCAUUUUAAAAUUUUCAAUUUUUAAAUACUACUAUGACGAGUUUGUUGUUUAACUGUAUAGGAGAAUCUAAAUUUAUUCAAAUUUUGAUAAAAAAUACUUAAAACUAUCUACAUCGAGGCCGACAUCCUUGAUAUUGAAUUUAUAAGUUAUAUCCUCAAAUUUUAAAAAUUGUUUAAUUUCUACCACUUAUUUUGAUAUUAUUUACUUACUAAGUAAAAGACGUAGGAAAAAUAUAAAAAUUUAUUCUAAUAACUUUAUAUAUCCUAAAUCAUAUUUAGGAAUAGUAGUUCUCGGGUACCUGAAAUAACCUGGUAUAACUAUCCCUACCAACACCUCCAUUUUUUAUAUGUAACUACCCACUAUUUUUCUUAUUCCAUAUUAUCUAUUCAAACUCUAUUUUUUUUUAUCCCCGGGGACAACCCAAUUUUCAUCCAAACGUUUUUUUUUUAUCCUAUACUUGUAUCUAUUCCUGUAAUAACUAGUUCUUGCUUAUAGCCGAAACAAACGCUACCUAAAUAGCGUUUGGUUCGGGAACAAGAUGGGGAAUAAGCUCUUGUU